rnacentral:rRNA from 1 species
UACGUAGGGUCGCGAGCGUUAAUCGGAAUUACUGGGCGUAAAGGCGUGCGCAGGCGGUUCGUUGUGUCGGCGGUGAAAGCCCCGGCUUAACCUGGGAAUGGCCGUUGAAACUGGCGAACUGGAGUGUGGCAGAGGGGGGUGGAAUUCCGCGUGUAGCAGUGAAAUGCGUAGAGAUGCGGAGGAACACCGAUGGCGAAGGCAGCCCCCUGGGCUAACACUGACGCUCAGGCACGGAAAGCGUGGGGAGCAAACAGG